rnacentral:sRNA from 1 species
GCCUAGCCCCGAUUGCAGUGUAAAUCCUCCCUCGUUUUCCAAAACGAGGGAGAUUGCAACGAAAAGCGGGAACAAGG